UCCGCCCUGGUGUAAUGGCAGCACGCAGGCCUUUGGUGCCUUGAGGUCCGGGUUCGAAUCCUGGGGGCGGAG
rnacentral:tRNA from 2 species